CGAAAGCCUGACGKAGCARWAMCGCGUGAGGGAGGAAGGCUCUUGGGUUGUAAACCUCUUUUCUCAGGGAAGAAAAAAAUGACGGUACCUGAGGAAUAAGCAUCGGCUAACUCCGUGCCAGCAGCCGCGGUAAUACGGAGGAUGCAAGCGUUAUCCGGAAUGAUUGGGCGUAAAGGGUCCGCAGGUGGCAUUGUAAGUCUGCUGUUAAAGAGUCUGGCUCAACCAGAUAAAAGCAGUGGAAACUACAAAGCUAGAGUAUGGUCGGGGCAGAGGGAAUUCCUGGUGUAGCGGUGAAAUGCGUAGAUAUCAGGAAGAACACCGGUGGCGAAGGCGCUCUGCUAGGCCAAAACUGACACUGAGGGACGAAAGCUAGGGGAGCGAAUGGGAUUAGAUACCCCAGUAGUCCUAGCCGUAAACGAUGGAUACUAGGCGUAGCUCGUAUCGACCCGAGCUGUGCCGUAGCUAACGCGUUAAGUAUCCCGCCUGGGGAGUACGCAGGCAACUGUGAAACUCAAAGGAAUUGACGGGGGCCCGCACAAGCGGUGGAGUAUGUGGUUUAAUUCGAUGCAACGCGAAGAACCUUACCAAGGCUUGACAUGUCACGAAUCCCGGCGAAAGUUGGGAGUGCCUUCGGGAGCGUGAACACAGGUGGUGCAUGGCUGUCGUCAGCUCGUGUCGUGAGAUGUUGGGUUAAGUCCCGCAACGAGCGCAACCCUCGUUUUUAGUUGCCAGCAUUAAGUUGGGCACUCUAGAGAGACUGCCGGUGACAAACCGGAGGAAGGUGGGGAUGACGUCAAGUCAGCAUGCCCCUUACGUCUUGGGCUACACACGUACUACAAUGCUCCGGACAAAGGGCAGCUACACAGCGAUGUGAUGCGAAUCUCAGAAACCGGAGCUCAGUUCAGAUCGAAGGCUGCAACUCGCCUUCGUGAAGGAGGAAUCGCUAGUAAUUGCAGGUCAGCAUACUGCAGUGAAUUCGUUCCCGGGCCUUGUACACACCGCCCGUCACACCAUGGAAGUUGGUCACGCCCGAAGUCGUUACCCCAACCGCAAGGAGGGGGAUGCCUAAGGUAGGACUGAUGACUGGGGUGAAGUCGUAACAAGGUACCCGU
rnacentral:rRNA from 1 species